CCCCUCUCAGGGACACACCUGGAGAGUAACCAGUUCUCCACCAGUUUCGACUAAAAGAGGGAGAGUCAGGCAGAGGCAUAUCCAUUCCAUUCCUAGCUCAGGCAGUGGCUAGCGAGUGGAAGGCAACCUGCUACAAGU